rnacentral:rRNA from 1 species
AUUGAACGCUGGCGGCAUGCUUUACACAUGCAAGUCGAACGGUAACAGGCCGCAAGGUGCUGACGAGUGGCGAACGGGUGAGUAAUGCAUCGGAACGUGCCCAGUCGUGGGGGAUAACGCAGCGAAAGUUGCGCUAAUACCGCAUACGAUCUAUGGAUGAAAGCGGGGGACCGUAAGGCCUCGCGCGAUUGGAGCGGCCGAUGUCAGAUUAGGUAGUUGGUGGGGUAAAGGCUCACCAAGCCGACGAUCUGUAGCUGGUCUGAGAGGACGACCAGCCACACUGGGACUGAGACACGGCCCAGACUCCUACGGGAGGCAGUAGUGGGGAAUUUUGGACAAUGGGCGCAAGCCUGAUCCAGCAAUGCCGCGUGCAGGAAGAAGGCCUUCGGGUUGUAAACUGCUUUUGUACGGAACGAAACGGUCCUGGUUAAUACCCGGGGCUAAUGACGGUACCGUAAGAAUAAGCACCGGCUAACUACGUGCCAGCAGCCGCCGUAA